rnacentral:rRNA from 1 species
UGGGGGAAUAUUGGGCAAUGGGCGAAAGCCUGACCCAGCGACGCCGCGUGAGGGAAGACGGUCUUCGGAUUGUAAACCUCUUUCAGCAGGGAAGAAGCAAGUGACGGUACCUGCAGAAGAAGUCACGGCUAACUACGUGCCAGCAGCCGCGGUAAUACGUAGGUGGCGAGCGUUUAUCCGGAAUUACUGGGUGUAAAGGGUGUGUAGGCGGGGAAGCAAGUCAGAUGUGAAAACCAAAGGCUCAACCUUUGGCUUGCAUUUGAAACUGUUUUUCUUGAGAGUGGGAGAGGUAAACGGAAUUCCUAGUGUAGUAGUGAAAUGCAUAGAUAUGACGCAGAACUCCGAUUGCGAAGGCAGCUUUCCAG